rnacentral:rRNA from 1 species
UACGUAGGGUGCGAGCGUUAAUCGGAAUUACUGGGCGUAAAGCGUGCGCAGGCGGUUCUAUAAGACAGAUGUGAAAUCCCCGGGCUCAACCUGGGAACUGCAUUUGUGACUGUAGAGCUAGAGUACGGUAGAGGGGGAUGGAAUUCCGCGUGUAGCAGUGAAAUGCGUAGAUAUGCGGAGGAACACCGAUGGCGAAGGCAAUCCCCUGGACCUGUACUGACGCUCAUGCACGAAAGCGUGGGGAGCAAACAGG